AGGGAGGUAACGGUGAACUUGCUGUAGUCUUAUGAUUUUUUUUCUUUCGGUGAGAACACUGCUGCGGCACAUUUUUUCAGAUGCAUUGUAGUUGCGUAAAACGCCACCAGAUGUCCCCACCAGCUUUGGUACUGGCGUCCACGGCUGCGGUAACCCGGUAAUCCGCAAACGAGCACAUGACGUCACACGAGGCGAAGAUCGUGGGGCCACGUCGCGCCUUGGUCAUGCUCGGCGCGAUCCUGUUCGCCACGGUUUGGCUUUCUGCCUCGAGACUCAACUACGCGAGAGUGCGAUCGGCCCUGCGUUCGAGCUUCGCAAACAGAAGCAGGCUCGUCGCCGACUUUCUCCUCGGCGAAGCCAAUGAGAGGCGCGCAGCAACAGGCAACGUGACGGGAGGCAAUGAAGACGGCGCACCGUACGAAAAGUACAGG